rnacentral:rRNA from 1 species
UACGUAGGGUCCGAGCGUUGUCCGGAAUUAUUGGGCGUAAAGAGCUCGUAGGCGGUUUGUCGCGUCUGCUGUGAAAUCCCGAGGCUCAACCUCGGGCCUGCAGUGGGUACGGGCAGACUGGAGUGCGGUAGGGGAGAAUGGAAUUCCUGGUGUAGCGGUGAAAUGCGCAGAUAUCAGGAGGAACACCGGUGGCGAAGGCGGGUCUCUGGGCCGUAACUGACGCUGAGGAGCGAAAGCAUGGGGAGCGAACAGG